AGGUAGAUCAUUUAGAGUGUGUAAAGUAUAGGAUAAGAUUCUUGAAAAACUAAAUUGUGUGGCGGCAAAAGAUUAAAAACAGAGAAGUAUGCUUAAAAUCGAAAAUGCACGAUAUAUCUUACCUAAAUUUGAUAUUAACAUUUUGUACACAGCCGUCGGAAGAGUAAAUUUAAUAGUUUGCUCCAGUCCUCUUAAGUAAUUGAAAAGGAUUAAGUCAGGUCAAUGUGCAGACUAUAUUUAGGUUAAAGUGUUCUUCAUUAUUAAUAUUUAUGUGUCCUAAUAUUACUAUAAAUGUAUUAUAAAGAAGUUUAUUAUGGGUAAUAGAAUUUGUUAGUAAGUAGAAUUUAAUAUAUUCUACUGAAUAUACACU
rnacentral:rRNA from 1 species